rnacentral:rRNA from 1 species
UACGUAGGGUGCAAGCGUUGUCCGGAAUUAUUGGGCGUAAAGAGCUUGUAGGCGGUUUGUCGCGUCUGCUGUGAAAUCCCGCGGCUCAACUGCGGGUCUGCAGGCGAUACGGGCAGGCUAGAGUUCGGUAGGGGAGACUGGAAUUCCUGGUGUAGCGGUGAAAUGCGCAGAUAUCAGGAGGAACACCGGUGGCGAAGGCGGGUCUCUGGGCCGAUACUGACGCU